CAGGUUAAAGACUUUUUGAAGUAAAGAGGAGCAUCUCAUCUGAACCUGAUGUCUAUCAAGGAUAUUUAACUGCAGUUCUGUGAGUAUCCCAACUUAACCAAGAAGAUGAACUGCAAACUGUAAGUCAUAAGUUUCUCAUUACUCUUGGGCACAUUGAUGUAUUUUGGCUUCCUGGUGAGUUAACCCCUUACCUGAAGGUUGAUCUGAGUAGUAAGGAUGUUUUAUUGGUUCAUGGGUUACUUAGGUGUUUGGUUUAUGUUGGUUUUAAUGAUUUGUUAAAAUGGUUACAGGCGCCAAGUUAUUGUUGUAAGCUGGAGUAAUGGGUUGGGUUCUGAUGUCUUCAGUCUUCUUUCCAGCUACUUUCCUGAGCUCUGCAUCUUCAUCACAUGAGUGUUGCUUUACUGAUGAGGGUGUGGUCUGAGUGAGUGGAGGUGCAUACUGGGAUACAGAGCUGUCUGAAUUCUACAGAUCUGUAGACACGCCCCCCCAGGGGAAACCGAGUGUUUGAGAAACCAUCGUGACGUCAGUUACAUGGACUAGAAUGUUCUUUAAGAUGGAGACAGGGAUUCAGAAGGAGAAACGCCAGGGGGAGAUGAGGGGGCUCCUCAUCUCAACAGCUAAAACACAACUUCAGUCUGACACAGAGAACCAUGGAACACAUUCAACAGUCCCCUCCAGUCAUCGUGACUCCUCAGGGACAGUUUCAUUUCCAAGAAGAUCUUAAUUGGGGCCAAUCCAAGAUGGAUCCUGCUCCUCAAGAGCCACCCCCCCCCCCCCCCUCCACUGGGUGGUCUGAACGGAUGACCUCCUUCCUGUCCUCAGGCUGACUAAAGCUGCACCGUUUGGAUCUGUGAAGGCCCCUCAUUCAGGAAACCACUGGACUACAAAGACGUGACUUCAGAGACGUUGAAUCAACCUGGGACACAUUUUGGAGACGCCAAGCAUAAUAAAUCACCAAUGUGGGACGCCACUGAAAAAUGUUGCACACAAUUUACUUCUCUGGAGACAUUGGUUGUUCUGUUCUGGGUGACCUGGCAGGAGAGCUGGGGUUGGAUGAUGGAACAUUAUUUGGCAUGAGGUUUUUACCCUGCAUGAUUGUUUGGCCUUUUAUGGCUCAGUUGUGUGUUUGGGUUUGACAUGAGAUGGAUGAUUUUUGAGCAUCGCUAUGGUUCUACUGUGUGUCUCCCACUCACACCUGGCAUGAGGUUCUACGUGCGUGUCCUGGGUUCUGUGUGUGUCCGGCUUGCUUUGACAGUGAUAAUGUUCAUACGGGGGUCUGUGUGAUUGGCUUGGGAUAUUGGAAUGGUCAACUAAAUCAUACCUGAUGGAAGGCCACACGUUUACUUAAGGGCCUCCAGUAGACAUGAAGAGCCCAGAGCGACGCUGCUGAGCGAUAUCAACACACUCGGCAGGAAGGAGGGUAUCCAACUCAAGUGUAAAAGGAUGCAAGCGGCGUGUUCAGAUCAGUGACUUCAAACUAGGACUACACCAAUCAGGAUCAAUGGAGGAUGGACACCUCAAGGAAUUCCAAAAGGAGUCUGAUGUUGGAAAGGGACCUAAAUGGGUAUUCAAGAUAACCUUCAGACCUGUAAUGAGAUGGCUCUUCCUACCUGGCUGGAUUGAUGGAGAGCCCUGUGGAUCUUGUCUUGCUCUCAGUUGCACGUCUUCUCAGGCUGAACAGUAUUUGUUUCGGACAGGACUAGCUGAACGAUUGGUUCCCUUAAAUCAGAACCAAUCUGGGAACGCCAACUGGUGCGCUCUUCGAGCUGAAGUUGUGCUCUUCGAGCUGAAGUUGUGCGCUUCAGCUGAGGAGGUAAGGAAACCUUCACUGGGGCUUCAAGGUGUAAAGAGGAGGAUGUUUCAAAGUGUUCCAUGGUACUCUGAUGAAGACCGUUGUUGUGUUCCACUGGCUGAGAAGAAGAACCCUCACAUCUUCCUCUUGGCCUUUCUCCUCUGAGAAUCCUGGCGCCAUCUUGAAGGAUAUUCCAGGUCAUGUAACUGAUGUCAUGACAGAUUCUCAAACACUUGGUUUCUCCUGAGGGGCGUGUCUAUAGAACUGAAGACUUCAGAAAGCACUGUAUCCCAGCAUGCAUCUCUGCUCACUCAGACCCCUCCGCAUGAGUAGGAUGCAACACUCUAGUGAUGGAGAUGUAGAGUUUUAUAAGUAACGAGGGAGAGGACAAAGGUGUUUAGAACAUAAUGGCAUGUCUAGUCUGUAAAUCUUUAAACCAUGAAGAUGGUUGGAUAGUUCAGGAAUUGGGCUUUUUACUAUGGGCGGUCCUUUCACUCAGAUGCCCACUUCUCACUGGACCUGUACAUGUGUUGGCUGGCUGGCAUGAUUUGCUGUUGGUGAUGAGGCGGUCAGGGUGACGUUGCAGGGCUAUGGUUGGCUCUCGGUGAGCUCAACGUUUAGAUUUGCUCUGUAUGGUUUGUACCCUGAAUAAUCUAGAUAAUUGUAAAAUGUAGACACGGAAUUGUAUUGAAUAAUUUUAGGUUUAAAGUUGUUGUGGGACGUACAUGGUAGUUUGGUUCCUUUUACGGUUUUGAGUGAUAUAACUUGUACACACUGGGUGCAUAAUAAUGUAAAGGUACACUGAAUAUUAGUAUUGACCAACAGCAACAAACUGAUCUCCUCAAGGUAAGUCUGUUGGCUGUAUUUCAAGACCAUCGCUGGACUUCAGGAUCUUCCUCCGUUCAGCUCAAGGUGAGGCGCUGGUUCUGUUUUUUCUUUGGUUGGUUCCGGCCGGAAUGUUCGGAUUCCAGUCGGACGGUUUGUGCUUCCCGCCGUGGAAGGUUCUGAGUACGGUCACUUGAUUUAGUCCCAAUGGUUAGCAUAGAACGUUGUAGUCUUGACAACCAUAAGAAACCACCUGGCAGUUAGUUGGACGGAAGUCCCCUGAGGUAAUCUGGCAGAACGUUCUGGAUUGUAUUUGCGUAACCUCGAGCCGUUGCCAACGGAAAUAGUUUUUCAGUCGUUUGCAUUGGGAAUUGUUGCCCCUUAUCUUAAACAACUCAAGUUUGAUAUUAAAUACAUACCGACACGUACGUCGUACAAUAUGUUGAUAAUUUCCGAUGGUUGCGGCGUACUUUUAACCGAUGACGUGACGGGACUUUCGCUGCGUACAAAACGGCGUUCUACUUGCGGGCCAAUUUUUGACAUCAGUGACGGCUGAAAAUCAUUUCAAGAUGGCAUUUCAACGGAACCCAGCACCUGAAUAUGGCUGAGUAUAUUUGAUUUAAUAUCGAUACGGCUUAGUGUUCUUUGUUACUUCAGCUUUUGUACGUUCUAAAUAUCUGCUGUCAUUAAUAGCCACAGAAGUUAAACCCUACCAAAUGGAAUGAUGUUAAACAACGACUUUGGUGCAGAGUUACCAACUGGAUAAUAUCAAAGCUAAAAUAAUGGCCGUCCUUCCCACAUGUUACAGUAGAAGAUACUCUAGAACUGUACAAGGUUAAAAAGGUAACGUGUAGUUUGUCCCAAGGUGUCUGCCUCCUCACCCAGAGCAAGACAUCCACCUCCUCACCCAGAGCCAGACCUCCACCUCCUGAAAGUCCUCCAGAACAGCUGUAGCUGAAAGGUGAGGCUGGGACCAGAGGCUUGUUGUACCAGGAUGGACCAGUGACUGAGGCUGGAGACCAGGGGCCUGCAGCACCGGACCAGAGGGUAACCAUCACCAAGCUCAUCUGAAACACUAAAAUCCACGACCAGGAAUCUAUUUCUGGGGGAGCCGUGCUGAAGGAGCUGGUGGAGGAGUCGUGCUGAGGGCCUGCCUGCUGGAGGAGCUGGUGGAGGAGUCGUGCUGAAGGCCCUGCCUACUGGAGGAGCUGUUGGAGGCCCUGCCUGGUGAAGGACGUCUGUCGUGGGACCAGGAAUCUGUCGGAGGAGAGCUGCUGGAUUCCUCAACAUGUUUCUGGAGCGGAGGCGAGCUGGUAGGGGAGCCGUGAAUCUGGAGGAUGACCAUCACUCUACCAACAAGGAUUACGUUAGGGCAAGACUCGGCUGUUUGUUCCAGACCAGGACUCGGGCUGUGGUGAGCUGAUUGAGGAGCCAAGACUCUGGAGGACGACAUCACUCUACCAACCAGGAUCCUCACCAGGAAUCUGGAGGACUGAUGGAGAAGCCGUACAUCUGGAAGGCAAAUCCUGAGGACGACCAGGACUCUACCAUCAAGGAUUUCUCGUCAGUUUGCAUUAUCUGGACAUAGUGGACUAGACACGCCUGAGCUGAACCUCACCUGAUCCUGUUUGGCCGGGGGUAGACACACCUGAGCUGAACCCGCCCUGAUCCUGACAUCCUGCUGGUCCCGUCUCCUCAGUUCAUCUGCGCCUCGUCCUCCAGAAGACCUGCUGAGCUCAGCAGUCUGAGGCUGAUGGAUCAAUGACCUCCAGUGGGAGUGAUCUCCUUGACCCCACAUGUAACCGUGUGCUUCCACACGCCUUUCCCUCACGUCUGUCACUAACCUCACUACUUCACUACUCUCUACUGCUUCCUCUUCUUCCUUCUCUGUUGUUCGAACCUUUACACUGAAGGCGUGUCUUCCUGCCCUCAGAGGGUUCAGCGUUAGGGUUUAGAGUCAGGGUUUAGAGUCAGGGACAGAGCUGGUCAGGGAGGACUGCUUUUACACAAACCUCUUCACUCCCUUUCGGAAUGGUGGUGACAUUUUGAAAAGAUUCAUUUGGGAUAAUGUUUUCCUCUGCUUUCCUUUACAAAAUUGUAUUAAACUUCUGUCAACCAACUGUUUGUAACCAGACCAGGAAUCUAUUUCUGGGGGAGCCGUGCUGGAGGAGCCGUGCUGAAGGAGCCGGUGGAGGAGUCGUGCUGGAGGAGUCGUGCUGGAGGAGUCGUGCUGGAGGAGUCGUGCUGGAGGAGUCGUGCUGGAGGAGUCGUGCUGGAGGAGCCGUGCUGGAGGAGCCGUGCUGGAGGAGCCGUGCUGGAGGAGCCGUGCUGGAGGAGUCGUGCUGGAGGAGUCGUGCUGGAGGAGUCGUGCUGGAGGAGUCGUGCUGGAGGAGUCGUGCUGGAGGCCCUGCCUGGUGAAGGACGUCUGUCGUGGGAACAGGAAUCUGUCGGAGGAGAGCUGCUGGAUUCCUCAACGUGUUUCUGGAGUGGAGGCGUGCUGGUAGGGGAGCUGGUAGGGGAGCUGGUAGGGGAGCUGUGAAUCUGGAGGAUGACCAUCACUCUACCAACAAGGAUUACGUUGGGGCCAGACUCGCACUGUUUGUUCCAGACCAGGACUCUGGCUAAGGUGAGCUGAUGGAGGAGCCAAGACUCUGGAGGACGACAUCACUCUACCAACCAGGAUCCUCACCAGGAUUCUGGAGGACUGAUGGAGAAGCCGUACAUCUGGAAGGCAAAUCCUGAGGACAACCAGGACUCUACCAUCAAGGAUUCCUCCCUGAGCUGAACCUCACCUGAUCCUGUUUGGUCGGGGGUAGACACACCUGAGCUGAACCCGCCCUGAUCCUGACAUCCUGCUGGUCCCGUCUCCUCAGAUUAUCUGCGCCUCGUCCUCCAGAAGACCUGCUGAGCUCAGCAGUCUGAGGCUGAUGGAUCAAUGACCUCCAGUGGGAGUGAUCUCCUUGACCCCACAUGUAACCGUGUGCUUCCACACGCCUUUCCCUCACGUCUGUCACUAACCUCACUCCUUCACUACCCUCUAUUGCUUCCUCUUCUUUCUCUGUUGUUCGAACCUUUACACUGAAGACGCGUCUUCCUGCCCUCAGAGGGUUCAGCGUUAGGGUUGAGAGUCAGGGUUUAGAGUCAGGGACAGAGCUGGUCAGGGAGGACUGCUUUUACACAAACCUCUUCACUUCCUUUCGGAAUGGUGGUGACAUUUUGAAAAGAUUCAUUUGGGAAAAUGUUUUCCUCUGCUUUCCUGUACAAAAUUGUAUUCAACUUCUGUCAAGUGUUGUUAUAUUAAAAUCCCACAUUGACUUCUACAUGUUUGGUGCGGUUCAUUUAAUUGUCCUUUAACUUGGUAAAUGUCAAGCUAAACUCCUUCAAUACAUUUAAUAUACAUUGUUAUUCAGCAAUUUUCACAUAAUCCAUUUUGUAAAAACAUUAA